GGUCAAGCUAUAAAGAGCGUAGGGAGAAUGACUUGGCAUCAGGAGCCGAAGAAGGACGUGACAAGCUGCGAAAAGCUGCGGUUAGGAGCAAAUAUCCAUAGACCCGCAGAUAUCCGAAUGGGGAAACCCGGUACGGCAAUACCGUAUCACUGCAUGGUAAAUACAUAGCCAUGUGGAGGAAACCCUCUGAACUGAAACAUCUAAGUAGGAGGAGGAAGAGAAAGAAACAUCGAUUUCCUAAGUAGCGGCGAGCGAAAGGGAAAGAGGCCAAACCAGAGAUAGCAAUAUCUUUGGGGUUGCGGACUGCGUAAUUGAUUCAAUAUUUUUAGCAGAAGUGUAUGGGAAGACACACCAUAGUAGGUAAUAGUCCUGUAAGCGAAAAGGAUAUUGACAAGGCAGGAUCCAGAGUACCACCGGACACGAGGAACCCGGUGGGAAGCC
rnacentral:rRNA from 1 species